CUACGGGCGGCAGCAGUGGGGAAUAUUGGACAAUGGGGGAAACCCUGAUCCAGCAAUGCCGCGUGUGUGAAGAAGGCCUGCGGGUUGUAAAGCACUUUCGGUUGGGAGGACUGCUUCUAGCACUAAUAUUGUUGGAAGUUGACGUUACCUUCAGAAGAAGCACCGGCUAGCUCCGUGCCAGCAGCCGCGGUAAUACGGGAGGGUGCAAGCGUUAAUCGGAAUUACUGGGCGUAAAGCGCGCGUAGGCGGCUAGAUCAGUCGGGUGUGAAAGCCCCGGGCUUAACCUGGGAACUGCAUCCGAUACUGUCUAGCUUGAGUACAGGAGAGGAGAGUGGAAUUCCACAUGUAGCGGUGAAAUGCGUAGAUAUGUGGAGGAACACCAAUGGCGAAGGCAGCUCUCUGGCCUGAUACUGACGCUGAGGUGCGAAAGCGUGGGGAGCAAACAGGAUUAGAUACCCCGGUAGUC
rnacentral:rRNA from 1 species